UACGGAGGGUGCGAGCGUUGUCCGGAAUCAUUGGGCGUAAAGGGCGCGUAGGUGGCCCGGUCAGUUCGUGGUGAAAGCGCGGGGCUCAACCCUGCGUCGGCCAUGAAUACUGCCGCGGCUGGAGCACUGUAGAGGCAGGCGGAAUUCCGGGUGUAGCGGUGGAAUGCGUAGAGAUCCGGAAGAACACCCGGUGGCGAAGGCGG
rnacentral:rRNA from 1 species